CAAGCCUGGGGCCCCAUUGCACUCUGGGGAAGGAGGAGGGGGAGGAGUAACAACCUCGUUAAAAAACCAGGGUUCAUCUGGCCCGGAUGAUAGUACCCUGUCAGGGCUCCUAUCUAGGAUACAGACGAACAUGCUGUCUUGUAGAAAGGUGUUACGCACGUCAAACGAACUCUGAUCAAGGUAUAUAUGUUUAUAUAACCUUGAUCAGAAAUUAAGUAGGCCUUCAGGUUCAGAUAUCACACUAUCUUUAUAAUAUUAAUAAUAAAUAACUCAGUAAAGUGUCAGUCUCUAAACAAUGAUGAAUGGAGACGAGAACUACACAAGUUACGAAACUAAUAUUAGUGAGGACUUCUCUAGUGCGGCACGAAUAAUUGUUUUUUUUAUGCUGCUUCAGAUAUACCCAAGGAUAUAUCCAGAUAUAUCUAUCUUGAUGCAUGUUAAAUCUACUAGCAAGAGUCUGAAAUCCCUUGAUGUCUGUUGUUUUGCAUAUCAACAACAUAAACAGCAAUUGUUAUGAGAGGAUAUGGAAUAGAGGUGAGUUGAAUUUACUUAUUGUCAUAUGAAAGUCAUUUAAUAUUAUUUUUAUUAUUUUCAGUACAAGAUGAAGAGGAAAUAUCAUAAUAUUAAAGAAGCUUCGUAUUGCGUCGGGUCGAUCGGCGUUUAUUGUGUUUAUGUAAGGGUUUUCAAAGAACCUUAAGGUCUCAGUUAGUAUUACUAUAUGUUCUAAUUAUUAUUGAUGGUGUCCGAUACGCAAAGUUUUCAAGUGCCGCAAUAGAAUGAGAAUUUUGUAGAGAAUAGCGAAAGUUGAGGCCUAGAAGUAGAUUGAACUAGAUAAAUUAUUGAACAAUAUUAAAUUUGACUGAAAAUAUUCAAAUCAAUUGCAAUACACAGAAUCUCGGGAAUAGAAUCUCAGAAUAUAUAUUUAUACCAAAACACUUUUUUGGACUAGAUUUUAGCUUAUAGACUGGCGCUAUGGAUGUGCCGCGACCAGGACUGGAGAUUGGGCAAGGCUUUCCAGUUAUGUUGGAUUUGGAUGUUUAUUAUAAUCUAAGAUUAUAAACCCUGAGCUCUGCUACCAAUUUCAUUUGAGGGCAUGGUCUGUUCAUGCUGAUAUAUUCUGAGUGGCGGUAAAUCGUUUCUGAUAUUCGGUAUAAAAUCAUGGAAGACUAUGGAGUUGACGUAGGUAUUUGUCAACUAGGUUAAAAAUUUACAGUUACUUGAAGAUUCUUGAAGAGAUUCCUGAUGAGUUACCUUGACUGGUGAAGCUCUAGGGCGAAGAUUUGGGGACACUAUCAAUACAUAGGAUUAAGGUUGAGAACGAGAUUGAACCAGGUUAGUGCUAGGACUAGAUUAGAUGUAGCUUGUAAUCGCGAGUGAUAGUGAAAAUAUGGGGCCCUCUUAGUCUCGAAAUCAUUCGAAAAUCUAAACAGUUUUUUACUGUCGGUCGUAGUUUUCGACAUAAUUAUUGUAAUCAGAAAGCAAAUCUAUUAUUUUUCAGGGAAUAUAUUUUUUUUCGUAUAGCAUUUAUUUAA